rnacentral:rRNA from 1 species
AGUUUGAUCCUGGCUCAGGAUGAACGCUGGCGGCGUGCUUAACACAUGCAAGUCGAACGGUGAAGCCCCGCUUGCGGGGUGGAUCAGUGGCGAACGGGUGAGUAACACGUGAGCAACCUGCCCUGGACUCUGGGAUAAGCGCUGGAAACGGCGUCUAAUACUGGAUAUGAACCGCAGCCGCAUGGUUAGUGGUUGGAAAGAUUUUUCGGUCUGGGAUGGGCUCGCGGCCUAUCAGCUUGUUGGUGAGGUAAUGGCUCACCAAGGCGUCGACGGGUAGCCGGCCUGAGAGGGUGACCGGCCACACUGGGACUGAGACACGGCCCAGACUCCUACGGGAGGCAGCAGUGGGGAAUAUUGCACAAUGGGCGGAAGCCUGAUGCAGCAACGCCGCGUGAGGGAUGACGGCCUUCGGGUUGUAAACCUCUUUUAGCAAGGAAGAAGCGAAAGUGACGGUACUUGCAGAAAAAGCGCCGGCUAACUACGUGCCAGCAGCCGCGGUAAUACGUAGGGCGCAAGCGUUAUCCGGAAUUAUUGGGCGUAAAGAGCUCGUAGGCGGUUUGUCGCGUCUGCUGUGAAAUCCCGAGGCUCAACCUCGGGCCUGCAGUGGGUACGGGCAGACUAGAGUGCGGUAGGGGAGAUUGGAAUUCCUGGUGUAGCGGUGGAAUGCGCAGAUAUCAGGAGGAACACCGAUGGCGAAGGCAGAUCUCUGGGCCGUAACUGACGCUGAGGAGCGAAAGGGUGGGGAGCAAACAGGCUUAGAUACCCUGGUAGUCCACCCCGUAAACGUUGGGAACUAGUUGUGGGGUCCUUUCCACGGAUUCCGUGACGCAGCUAACGCAUUAAGUUCCCCGCCUGGGGAGUACGGCCGCAAGGCUAAAACUCAAAGGAAUUGACGG